GGUGGCAUUGAAAAUGUCGACGAGAUCUUGAUGUCCUUCAGCCCCUGAGAUGUCCUAUCUUGGUUGUUCUUCGUUGAUGCAGAAGAUGUUGACGGUAUAUAACUAGGCGCGCCAUAUGUUGAAGGAGAUUCCUUUGAAGCCGAUGUUGAAGAAGUUGUUUGAAGAUGAUGAUAAUUCUGCUUGACGGAGGUGAAGGCAGUACUUGCUUGAUGGAUAUGAAAGUAGUGCUUGCCUGAUGGAGACGAUGAUGAGGUUGUUGAGGAUGAGGCCGUGGAAGCCGAGACUGAGUCGAUGAAGAUGAGGCUGCGGAAGCCGAGGUUGAAGGAGAGGCCGCGGAAGCCAAGACUGAGUUGAUGAAGAUGAGGCCGCGGAAGCCGAGGCUGAAGGAGAGGCCGCGGAAGCCAAGACUGAGUUGAUGAAGAUGAGGCCGCGGAAGCCGAGGCUGAAGGAGAGGCCGCGGAAGCCAAAGAUGAAGGAGAGGCCGCGGAAGCCA
rnacentral:lncRNA from 1 species